rnacentral:tRNA from 1 species
CGCCCCAUUCCCGCGCUGAUAGCUGACUCUUAAUCAGCGGGUCCUUGGUUCGAGCCCAAGUGCGUCCACCA